AUUGAACGCUGGCGGCAGGCCUAACACAUGCAAGUCGAGCGGAUGAAGGGAGCUUGCUCCUGGAUUCAGCGGCGGACGGGUGAGUAAUGCCUAGGAAUCUGCCUGGUAGUGGGGGAUAACGUCCGGAAACGGGCGCUAAUACCGCAUACGUCCUGAGGGAGAAAGUGGGGGAUCUUCGGACCUCACGCUAUCAGAUGAGCCUAGGUCGGAUUAGCUAGUUGGUGGGGUAAAGGCCUACCAAGGCGACGAUCCGUAACUGGUCUGAGAGGAUGAUCAGUCACACUGUAACUGAGACACGGUCCAGACUCCUACGGGAGGCAGCAGUGGGGAAUAUUGGACAAUGGGCGAAAGCCUGAUCCAGCCAUGCCGCGUGUGUGAAGAAGGUCUUCUGAUUGUAAAGCACUUUAAGUUGGGAGGAAGGGCAGUAAGUUAAUACCUUGCUGUUUUGACGUUACCAACAGAAUAAGCACCGGCUAACUUCGUG
rnacentral:rRNA from 1 species